rnacentral:rRNA from 1 species
CCAAAUGACUCUCAGCAACGGAUAUCUUGG